rnacentral:rRNA from 1 species
AUGCAAGUCGAGCGGAUGAAUGGAGCUUGCUCCAUGAUUCAGCGGCGGACGGGUGAGUAAUGCCUAGGAAUCUGCCUGGUAGUGGGGGACAACGUUUCGAAAGGAACGCUAAUACCGCAUACGUCCUACGGGAGAAAGCAGGGGACCUUCGGGCCUUGCGCUAUCAGAUGAGCCUAGGUCGGAUUAGCUAGUUGGUGAGGUAAUGGCUCACCAAGGCGACGAUCCGUAACUGGUCUGAGAGGAUGAUCAGUCACACUGGAACUGAGACACGGUCCAGACUCCUACGGGAGGCAGCAGUGGGGAAUAUUGGACAAUGGGCGAAAGCCUGAUCCAGCCAUGCCGCGUGUGUGAAGAAGGUCUUCGGAUUGUAAAGCACUUUAAGUUGGGAGGAAGAGCAUUAACCUAAUACGUUAGUGUUUUGACGUUACCGACAGAAUAAGCACCGGCUAACUUCGUGCCAGCAGCCGCGGUAAUACGAAGGGUGCAAGCGUUAAUCGGAAUUACUGGGCGUAAAGCGCGCGUAGGUGGUUUGUUAAGUUGAAUGUGAAAGCCCCGGGCUCAACCUGGGAACUGCAUCCCAAACUGGCCAGCUAGAGUAUGGCAGAGGGUGGUGAAAUUUCC